rnacentral:sRNA from 1 species
UAUAUGGGGACAGAAACAGGAGUGAUCAGGUGAGGGGGAGGAUGAAAUGAAAGGACAGAAUGCAGGGAGAAAUGGUUAGAAUUGGGGGAGGGGGUUGGGGGAAGGCCACUUGGAAACCUAGUGCAGUGGAAUCUUUCUGGAUUCUAUGAAGGUGAUCUUUGUGAGGACUCCUAUUAAUAAGAGAUACAGAGUCUUAUCUACCCAUCUCUUGUAGCCAGGCAAGGCUUCCAGUGGUGGGACUGAGUUGAAUUCAGUUGAGUUGCUGGUCAACAGGUCCAGUAUAGCUCUACAAACAACCAGGCUGAUGCUACGGCAGAGGGUUGCUUUCCUCAAACUGAAAAUGGAGCCCUGUUGACAAGGAGAACAUCUCCACAGCUCACUGAAAGUGGGUAUUUCGUCACAGCAACAAGACAAGCAACUAAUGCAGCCAAGAAGGAAGAGGAGAGGAAUGAGCUAAAAUCACACACACCAUGCCCAUCCAGGCCCGAAAAAUUUAGGAUUCUAAUAACCAUCCAGAAUAUCUGCCAAGUACUUCGACAUAGCAGUCUCCCUUCCCUUCCAGAUUCUUACAUCACUGCCAAGAACAAAGUGCGUGGAUCACUGAGGAUUCCUAGGAGAAAGUCUGAUCGACCCGUCUCAGAUCACAUGUUCACCCUCGAGUUGGAGACGCUGAAACUGGUGGAACACAGUCACAUGACAUGAAAUCCGUCCCUCCCGGAGUCAUAAGCAGUGUAGAGCCUCUGAGGUGGAAUGUGAGAAGGAAGGAGGGAGGGAAUGUUUGUCAUCUCUGAAGAUGUGGGGCUGAAGGCUAAAAGAGACUUGCUGAGCUGUGGUUCAAGAUAAAUAAAUGAAUAAAUAAGUCAUGGCUUUAGAAAGAACAAAAGAGAAUCCCAUUUAUUAGUCACAGAACCGCAGACGGUAUUCCUGGCCGUUCAGAUUCCUUAUCUCAUAUGUAACCGUGGGUCUAUGAUUACCGUUUGUAUCUCAAUAAUGUCGUAAGGAAUGACCUAUCUUAACAUCAAGGAUUUGGCAGGUUUCCUAUGAAAAAAACCAUCCAGCAAUUCUCUUUGAAUUCGUUAUCCCCAACCUUACUAUAAAUAUAUUUGGAAGGCAGUUACAUGAGCUGGCAAUGUUGAAGUCCCUAGGGAGCUGCUUGGUGCAGGAGAUGACAUUCUAAAAGGAGAAGAAAUCUGACAUCGCACUCCAGGAGUUUGCAUGUCCGGGUGUUUGGGGCUUGAAAGAGUGAAACUGUGAAUAAAUGCUUCCUUUCUAAUAGAAUAUCCACUAGAUGCUCACACGACUCCAAACUCCACAUUGGUACUAUUUCUGUGGCCAGUGACAAAGGCUCUUCACUGAAAUUGCUUUUCCUCUGUGCCAAAUGAUCAGGACUAACCCACAGAGUGUGAAAGAGAGACUUCUCUAAAGUUGCCUGACAAGCAAGGCAAGGUUCUCCUCCUUGAAACCCACUGUGGUGCUGAACACUCAACGUUUCCCUAUCAAGAAAAGAAACAUUCAAAGAGAUUUUUUUUUUAAUUCUCCUGGUGAGAGUUUUAGUUUCCCAACCCAUUCAAGUUCUUCUAAAAGAAUCCUUAAGCACCCACGCAAACCUAUGAUUUAUAGCAAGCAUGUGUUUUUCUGGAAGUAACCUAGACCACCUCCUGCUUUCCAAGGUCAGCCUCCUAAUCUUCCUGUAAUUCCUCUCUCUCACUUCCCUGUGGUGACUUUCCUGGCAGGGACUGGGCUGCCCUUCCUCCAGAGGCUCUACACAAUUCAGACGU